UGCAGUCGAACGAUGAUGCCCAGCUUGCUGGGCGGAUUAGUGGCGAACGGGUGAGUAAUACGUGAGUAACCUGCCCUUGACUCUGGGAUAAGCCUGGGAAACUGGGUCUAAUACUGGAUACUACCGUCCACCGCAUGGUGGGUGGUGGAAAGGGUUUUACUGGUUUUGGAUGGGCUCACGGCCUAUCAGCUUGUUGGUGGGGUAAUGGCUCACCAAGGCGACGACGGGUAGCCGGCCUGAGAGGGUGACCGGCCACACUGGGACUGAGACACGGCCCAGACUCCUACGGGAGGCAGCAGUGGGGAAUAUUGCACAAUGGGCGGAAGCCUGAUGCAGCGACGCCGCGUGAGGGAUGACGGCCUUCGGGUUGUAAACCUCUUUCAGUAGGGAAGAAGCGAGAGUGACGGUACCUGCAGAAGAAGCGCCGGCUAACUACGUGCCAGCAGCCGCGGUAAUACGUAGGGCGCAAGCGUUGUCCGGAAUUAUUGGGCGUAAAGAGCUCGUAGGCGGUUUGUCGCGUCUGCUGUGAAAGCCCGGGGCUCAACCCCGGGUCUGCAGUGGGUACGGGCAGACUAGAGUGCAGUAGGGGAGACUGGAAUUCCUGGUGUAGCGGUGAAAUGCGCAGAUAUCAGGAGGAACACCGAUGGCGAAGGCAGGUCUCUGGGCUGUUACUGACGCUGAGGAGCGAAAGCAUGGGGAGCGAACAGGAUUAGAUACCCUGGUAGUCCAUGCCGUAAAC
rnacentral:rRNA from 1 species